GAUGAACGCUGGCGGUGUGCUUAAGACAUGCAAGUCGAACGAGGUCUUCGGACCUAGUGGCGGACGGGUGAGUAACACGUUAGUACCUGCCCUAAAGUGGGGAAUAACUCGGCGAAAGUCGAGCUAAUACCGCAUGUGACCGUUUACGGUUAAAGCCUUCGGGCGCUUUAGGAGGGGCGUUGCGCUAGAUUAGCUUGUUGGUAGGGUAAUGGCCUACCAAGGCGACGAUCUAUAGCUGGUUCGAGAGGAUGACCAGCCACACGUGGACUGAGAUACGGCCACGACUCCUACGGGAGGCAGCAGUCAGGAAUAUUCCACAAUGGGCGAAAGCCUGAUGGAGCAACACCGCGUGCA
rnacentral:rRNA from 1 species